GACGAACGCUGGCGGCGUGCCUAAUACAUGCAAGUAGAACGCUGAAGAGAGGAGCUUGCUCUUCUUGGAUGAGUUGCGAACGGGUGAGUAACGCGUAGGUAACCUGCCUUGUAGCGGGGGAUAACUAUUGGAAACGAUAGCUAAUACCGCAUAACAAUGGAUGACACAUGUCAUUUAUUUGAAAGGGGCAAUUGCUCCACUACAAGAUGGACCUGCGUUGUAUUAGCUAGUAGGUGAGGUAACGGCUCACCUAGGCGACGAUACAUAGCCGACCUGAGAGGGUGAUCGGCCACACUGGGACUGAGACACGGCCCAGACUCCUACGGGAGGCAGCAGUAGGGAAUCUUCGGCAAUGGGGGCAACCCUGACCGAGCAACGCCGCGUGAGUGAAGAAGGUUUUCGGAUCGUAAAGCUCUGUUGUAAGUCAAGAACGAGUGUGAGAGUGGAAAGUUCACACUGUGACGGUAGCUUACCAGAAAGGGACGGCUAACUACGUGCCAGCAGCCGCGGUAAUACGUAGGUCCCGAGCGUUGUCCGGAUUUAUUGGGCGUAAAGCGAGCGCAGGCGGUUUGAUAAGUCUGAAGUUAAAGGCUGUGGCUCAACCAUAGUUCGCUUUGGAAACUGUCAAACUUGAGUGCAGAAGGGGAGAGUGGAAUUCCAUGUGUAGCGGUGAAAUGCGUAGAUAUAUGGAGGAACACCGGUGGCGAAAGCGGCUCUCUGGUCUGUAACUGACGCUGAGGCUCGAAAGCGUGGGGAGCGAACAGGAUUAGAUACCCUGGUAGUCCACGCCGUAAACGAUGAGUGCUAGGUGUUGGAUCCUUUCCGGGAUUCAGUGCUGCAGCUAACGCAUUAAGCACUCCGCCUGGGGAGUACGACCGCAAGGUUGAAACUCAAAGGAAUUGACGGGGGCCCGCACAAGCGGUGGAGCAUGUGGUUUAAUUCGAAGCAACGCGAAGAACCUUACCAGGUCUUGACAUCCCGAUGCUAUUUCUAGAGAUAGAAAGUUACUUCGGUACAUCGGUGACAGGUGGUGCAUGGUUGUCGUCAGCUCGUGUCGUGAGAUGUUGGGUUAAGUCCCGCAACGAGCGCAACCCCUAUUGUUAGUUGCCAUCAUUCAGUUGGGCACUCUAGCGAGACUGCCGGUAAUAAACCGGAGGAAGGUGGGGAUGACGUCAAAUCAUCAUGCCCCUUAUGACCUGGGCUACACACGUGCUACAAUGGUUGGUACAACGAGUUGCGAGUCGGUGACGGCAAGCUAAUCUCUUAAAGCCAAUCUCAGUUCGGAUUGUAGGCUGCAACUCGCCAACAUGAAGUCGGAAUCGCUAGUAAUCGCGGAUCAGCACGCCGCGGUGAAUACGUUCCCGGGCCU
rnacentral:rRNA from 1 species